rnacentral:lncRNA from 1 species
CCUAAUCUUCUUCUUGAACCAAACUUCAUCAAACCUUCACCAAGACCUUCUCUCAACUCUGAACCAUUCGAACCUCACCAAUCUUCACUCACCAUUUUUAUCUACACGCAACCUUCCAAGAAUGAAACAGAAAAAGGGAUUGAAGAGGUAGCAAGAAACCAAAAACCACAACUCCAUAGCCAAAAGAGUUUCACAGAAUUCAGAAAAAAACUAAGAACGAGAAGAAGAAGAAGGAUCAUCGGAGCUUACGAUUUGGCCGGACUUCGGAUCGGAUACAGAUUCGUUCGAGAUCUCGCGGAAAUUACUCUGGAUUCUUCGUUGAUUCAUUCUCUUCAUCAUAACCGCAACCAACCAUAACCGUAACCAAUCUCCGUUCACCGAACCACCUUCAACCGCUUCCAACCUUCCAUCGCCGAGCCACCACAAGAAAAUUCAAUUUGUUCCUCAACGGAAGCAUAACGGAAAGGAAGAGGAAAGCACAAGAGGAUCUCGAUCUCAUCUUUUGAAAAUUCGGUCGCGUCCGCUCUUUGUUCUUCACGCCGCUUCAGUCACCGGAUCUUAGUUGCAUCGCUCUUCGUCACUAAUCGCGACGCCUCUCUCAUCUUCACCAACUGUACUGUCCAUCUUCCUCAAUCCGAAGCGGCCUCAGCUCGAUCGAACCACAACAACGCGAAUCGCAACAAGGCGAGAACAAGGAGUUUCGGAAUCGAGCCGUGGAGAUCUGAGCUUCGAGUUCGUCUUUGCCGCCGCGGGUAAGAGUGAAUCACGGUAGCAUUUUGUUUUGUUUGAAGUGGAGAGGUUGAUUCCUGUUUCGGUAAAGAGAGGUUGAGGCCGUGAGGAGGGGUGCGCAUCC